rnacentral:sRNA from 1 species
CUCUGCUUAGGUGUUGAAAAAUCUCGUCUAGAGCUUUGGAAGACUGAAUGGACUAAACAUGAAGAGCUUGAAAGCGAAGUUCAGGAAGAGUGACACCAAUGAGUGGAACAAGAAUGAUGACCGGCUACUGCAGGCCGUGGAGAAUGGAGAUGCAGAGAAGGUGGCUUCACUGCUCGGCAAGAAGGGGGCCAGUGCCACUAAACACGACAGUGAGGGCAAGACCGC